rnacentral:rRNA from 1 species
UACGUAGGGGGCGAGCGUUGUCCGGAUUCAUUGGGCGUAAAGAGCUCGUAGGCGGUUCGGCAAGUCGGGUGUGAAAACUCCAGGCUCAACCUGGAGACGCCACCCGAUACUGCUGUGACUCGAGUCCGGUAGGGGACCACGGAAUACCUGGUGUAGCGGUGAAAUGCGCAGAUAUCAGGUGGAACACCGGUGGCGAAGGCGGCUCGCUGGACCUUCACUGACGCUGAGGCGCGAAAGCCAGGGGAGCGAACGGG